UCAAAAACCUACAAUGGUAAACUUUUGUGCUGUGUUAGGGUUCUAACAAAGCUGAUGGGAAAGGUGAAAAGAAGUCUUUCUACAGAAUACCAGCUGUGAUUGAGACACAAGCAAACCAAGGAGCUUUGUGCCAGGAGACAGAGAGAGGAUUUAGCUGCUUUAUGCAGAGCGGAUCUGAAUACUUCAAGUCUAUUUUGUUACUGUUUUUCCCCAUGGCCAAAUAAUGAGGUGUCUGCGCCGCAGGAGGAAUAGGCCACAAUUAUAAAUA